rnacentral:tRNA from 1 species
AGAAAGAUCAGCUAAGUUUAAGCUAAUAGGUUCAUACCCUGUUUAUAGGGGCUUACCCCCUUCUUUCUA